AGGACGAAACGCUGGCGGCGUGCUUAACACAUGCAAGUCGAGCGGAAAGGCCCUUCGGGGUACUCGAGCGGCGAACGGGUGAGUAACGCGUGAGUAAUCUGCCCCUAGCUCUGGGAUAGCUCCGGGAAACCGGGAUUAAUACCAGAUACGACCACGUUAGACAUCUGCUGUGGUGGAAAGAAUUUCGGCUAGGGAUGAGCUCGCGGCCUAUCAGCUUGUUGGUGAGGUAACGGCUCACCAAGGCGACGACGGGUA
rnacentral:rRNA from 1 species